rnacentral:rRNA from 1 species
GACGAACGCUGGCGGCGUGCUUAACACAUGCAAGUCGAACGCUGAAGCACCAGCUUGCUGGUGUGCAUGAGUGGCGAACGGGUGAGUAAUACGUGAGUAACCUGCCCUUGACUCUGGGAUAAGCCCGGGAAACUGGGUCUAAUACUGGAUGCUACAUGUCACCGCAUGGUGGUGUGUGGAAAGGGUUUACUGGUCUUGGAUGGGCUCACGGCCUAUCAGCUUGUUGGUGAGGUAAUGGCUCACCAAGGCGACGACGGGUAGCCGGCCUGAGAGGGUGACCGGCCAAACUGGGACUGAGACACGGCCCAGACUCCUACGGGAGGCAGCAGGGGGGAAUAUUGCACAAUGGGCGAAAGCCUGAUGCAGCGACGCCGCGUGAGGGAUGACGGCCUUCGGGUUGUAAACCUCUUUCAGCAGGGAAGAAGCCACAAGUGACGGUACCUGCAGAAGAAGCGCCGGCUAACUACGUGCCAGCCGCCGCGGUAA